rnacentral:rRNA from 1 species
CCUACGGGAGGCUGCAGUGGGGAAUAUUGGACAAUGGGGGGAACCCUGAUCCAGCCAUGCCGCGUGUGUGAAGAAGGCCCUCGGGUUGUAAAGCACUUUCAGUGAGGAAGAACGCCUGGUGGUUAAUACCCAUCAGGAAAGACAUCACUCACAGAAGAAGCACCGGCUAACUCCGUGCCAGCAGCCGCGGUAAUACGGAGGGUGCGAGCGUUAAUCGGAAUUACUGGGCGUAAAGCGCGCGUAGGUGGCUUGAUAAGCCGGUUGUGAAAGCCCCGGGCUCAACCUGGGAACGGCAUCCGGAACUGUCAAGCUAGAGGGCAGGAGAGGAAGGUAGAAUUCCCGGUGUAGCGGUGAAAUGCGUAGAGAUCGGGAGGAAUACCAGUGGCGAAGGCGGCCUUCUGGACUGACACUGACACUGAGGUGCGAAAGCGUGGGUAGCAAACAGGAUUAGAUACCCCGGUAGUC